AAUCUACCUAUAGACACCAAAUGAGGUCAAGGACCAUUGUACUGUCCAUACUAGUAUCCUUUUGUGAAGCAUUUAAAAUCAAAAUACUCUGGACACAUAAAGGAAGCAGAUUUAUCUCUUCCUAGAAAGAAGAGCAGAAGUGACCAGUCACUGUUGCCAGGAUCAUUCUGUCUUUUUCAGAAGAACUUCUCAAGGAGCCCAGAAAUGUCAUAAUCUGUUCUGAAGCAAAUCAGCUUCCUGGGAGCUUUACAGCUAUUCAGGUCCCCAAGGGUGAAGUUUUGACCCUGGUGAAGUCAAGAGGACCUUCACUCUCUUUCAUUAAGACAAGAGCCAUCUCUCAUCACAUCUUGCACUUGCAACAGUGAAAUGUGGAAAGGAAAGGAGAAACUGUUUCCUUGGUUAUUGC